GACCUGACACACUGAGUAUUCGUCUGCUGUAGGGCAACAAAUAAACAAACUGAGUAUUUGUCUGCUAAAGGAAAAAAAUUAAUCAUUUGUGUUUCUUUCUGGAUUGCAAAAGGUUAGUAAUAUUUUCAGUAAUGGUUAAUAUGAAGAUAAACAAACAAACAUCAAAGAAAGAACGGGAAACUGAAAGAUCACGGUUACGGAUUCGUUUACUUUCAAAAUGAAAACGAAUUUGAACAUAUUCGAAGAUUACAUGAGCUGUCCCUAACAUAGUAAUGAAUGUUAGAUUGAAAAUGGCCUGAGACUAUUGUCUCUACUUCUUUGAAAGUUUUGAACAUCGCAAUCGAUGGAUACUUCAGCCCACCAUAAUUCCUCCUGGUGGUAUGAUCUGCUGCAAUGAAAUUUUCUGGGAUCAAAUGUUGUUCAGUUUCAAGUAGACUUGCAGUCUUGGCAUUUCAAGAUAUGCCGGCAGCGACUGUAUAGCACGUAUCCCACUACGUCAUAGAUCCCUUGGUUCUUCGUACCUCCAAAAACCAUAAUAUCCUGAUUCUUCUCAACAUAGUAAACUUCAUCUUCUGCUACGUACGCAUCAUUAUGGAUACUUUCCACUAUUUCGUCUGACAGUAUUUCGUUGACUUCUGGGUUAGAAUUCUCUUCAUUUACUCCUAUUUCUGCAGGUUCAUAUUCAAUAUCUUCUACAAAACGUAUUCUCAAUUCCUCCAGCAAUGAGAGGGAUUCUCUUAAGUUUUUGGCAGCUGCAUUAUCUUUUUUGAAUCUUUUCAAUAGGCAACCUUUAUAUUCCAAUAAAAAACAGUAUUUUUCCUCGUUAUCGACAAUUCCCACAUUUACGUCCAUUGUAGACGAAUUAUACAGCGAGUACGAUUUCGUUAUAACCAAACUUGCAUGGAGUUGAUCUCAGAAAUUUACUGAUUGUAUCUGGAUGUGGAAGAGGAAGUAUGCUUCUAUUCCUCAAAUGUUUAUACACCGAGGUGCUUUUCAUCUUCCAGAGUAAACACUGGAGUAAAAAGCCAGGACCAUAUCACAUAGAGUAAGCUUUCCCACUCUCCGACGUAAGCUGUGUCCGUCCCUUCACAAUGAAUGUUCUAAUUACUUCCUGCUCCUGUAAACAUUAUUUUAAAAAAAUUAUGUUAGUGUAAAUUAAUCAAUAGAAUCAUUCAUUAAAACACUAACUUGUGGUUUCAAGUGACAUAUUUGUUUUUUCCAGUGACUUCUCAGUCAAGUUCUUUAGUUCCACCUUAAAUUGUUCGAUCUUUCCGGCCAUAUCCUGAUAAAAAAACAGAUUAGUCAAUAUAUGUAACAGAACCACGAA